CUGCGCUCUUUCCACAUCCCUAUGUAUUUUUAAACAAAUUGAGGUUUUUAGUUACCUACAAUGGCCAUGAGGGAUGUGGAAAGAGCGCAGGU